AUCACUUCUCUGCCUUUUGGCUAAGAUCAAGUGUAGGAAGCCAGCUGCCAGAUCUGAGACUCAAACCACGGCUGGCCAUGUGAGAAUCCAGCACCUUCAUCACCACGCCAUCUGCUGGCCCCUAAUCUUGGAUAUUUACAAUCAUUUAAAACAUUUAAAAUAUUUUUCUAUUCAAGAAUUGAAAAAUAACUUAUUUUACAAAUGGCUCUUUGACUGUUAAUGAUGUGAAGCACUUU
rnacentral:snRNA from 1 species